CAGUCGCCGCGGUAAUACGAAGGGGGCUAGCGUUGUUCGGAAUUACUGGGCGUAAAGCGCACGUAGGCGGCUUGGUAAGUUAGAGGUGAAAGCCUGGAGCUCAACUCCAGAAUUGCCUUUAAGACUGCCGAGCUAGCAGGUGAGAGAGGUAAGUGGAACUCCGAGUGUAGAGGUGAAAUUCGUAGAUAUUCGGAAGAACACCAGUGGCGAAGGCGGCAACCUGGCUCAUUACUGACGCUGAGGCGCGAAAGCGUGGGGAGCAAACAGGAUUAGAUACCCCGGUAGUCCCUGUCUCUUAUAC
rnacentral:rRNA from 1 species